GACGAACGCUGGCGGUGUGCUUAACACAUGCAAGUCGAACGGUAAGGCCCUUUCGGGGGUACACGAGUGGCGAACGGGUGAGUAACACGUGAGUAACCUGCCCUCAUCUCUGGGAUAACAGUCGGAAACGGUUGCUAAUACUGGAUAUGAGCUUGCAAGGCAUCUUGUGGGUUGGAAAGAUUUUUUUUGGUUGGGGAUGGACUCGCGGCCUAUCAGCUUGUUGGUGAGGUAGUGGCUCACCAAGGCUUCGACGGGUAGCCGGCCUGAGAGGGCGACCGGCCAAAUUGGGACUGAGAUACGGACCAAACUCCUACGGGAGGCAGCAGUGGGGAAUAUUGCACAAUGGACGGAAGUCUGAUGCAGCAACGCCGCGUGCGGGAUGACGGCCUUCGGGUUGUAAACCGCUUUCAAUUGUGACGAAGCUUUUUUGUGACGGUAGCAGUAGAAGAAGCACCGGCUAACUACGUG
rnacentral:rRNA from 1 species